CAAUUCUGUUACAGAAGUACAGCAUCGUCGAUAGCUUUUACUGUGCCUUCACUUGAUGAUCUAACAAUCCGAGGCCUAAAUAUUUGUUUGGUAUAUGAAUCUGGUGUUGGUCAAGACAAUUGCUCAUUAAGCCAUGAGAAGAAUCGCCAGCCAAUUUUAUAUGUUGAAAUCAGUACUGAGAACGAGGCUCUAAACCAAGAUAUGAUAAGCCAUUGGAGCAUUGGAAAUCAACUAAAACGUGGCGAUGAAGUGAAUGUUUCGGUGACAGUGAGGACAUUGUUCAAGUUAAAAGAGUAUGGAGUUCAUGUUGUGUAUGAGAAAGAAUAGAAACAAGCCACCUAAGAUAAGUUUUAUCUUUCUUGUUCACAGUCGAAUUAUAUAGUGAACACCGGAAUGUACAACCUCAACAAUCAAGUAUUACCAAAAGAUGAUGCUUUAGCUUCAAUAUCUUGCUCGGGGUGGGAAAAUUACAUAUGACAAACCUUCGCAGAAACUACAGAUGAAGAACAAAAGCAUCCCAACAGCGGCAUGAUAGGCAGAGCACAAGGACACAAAGCAGUUCUUAUUACUAGAAGAAUGAAGUGCGGAAGCAGAGGUCAUUUUGCUGCUAGUUAGAAACAUUUUAAUUUAGUGGUGAAAAUGCAUAUCCACUUACCAAAAUAACCAUCUCCUUUGCUAGUAUUCAGGCUGCUUAUUUGUACAAAAAACUUACAGAGUUAGAGAAAGUAACUUGAAAAGUGGCUAGAAAAUGAAUAUAUGGUAUGGAUUCACAUAGUUACAUUCAGAAUGAAUCUGAUUCGCACACUUUAUUUUCUGGUCACUUUUCUGAUUACUUUUUCUGGCUCGAUACCAUUGUUGUAGUUGCAAAACUCUGAUUUUCUGAACAGAAAUUUUAAAUUGCUAUGAAAGAGUGCUGAGUGAUUUGAGUCA